UACGUAGGGUGCGAGCGUUGUCCGGAAUUAUUGGGCGUAAAGAGCUCGUAGGCGGUCUGUCGCGUCGGUCGUGAAAACUUGGGGGCUCAACCUCGAGACGCCGAUGGAAACCGUCUGGCUAGAGUCCGGAAGAGGAGAGUGGAAUUCCUGGUGUAGCGGUGAAAUGCGCAGAUAUCAGGAAGAACACCCGUGGCUAAGGCGGCUCUCUAGUACGGUACUGACGCUGAGACGCGAAAGCGUGGGGAGCGAACAGG
rnacentral:rRNA from 1 species